rnacentral:rRNA from 1 species
UACGGGAGGCAGCAGUGGGGAAUAUUGCACAAUGGGGGAAGCCCUGAUGCAGCGACGCCGCGUGAGUGAUGAAGUAUUUCGGUAUGUAAAGCUCUAUCAGCAGGGAAGAUCAUGACGGUACCUGACUAAGAAGCUCCGGCUAAAUACGUGCCAGCAGCCGCGGUAAUAAGGGCGAAUUCGUUUAAAC